CACAAGCGGUGGAGCAUGUGGUUUAAUUCGAAGCAACGCGAAGAACCUUACCAGGUCUUGACAUCCUUUUGAAUGGUCUAGAGAUAGAUCAGGCCUUCGGGACAGAAGAGACAGGUGGUGCAUGGUUGUCGUCAGCUCGUGUCGUGAGAUGUUGGGUUAAGUCCCGCAACGAGCGCAACCCUUAUCAUUAGUUGCUAACAUUCAGUUGAGAACUCUAAUGAGACUGCCAGUGAUAAACUGGAGGAAGGUGGGAUGACGUCAAAUCAUCAUGCCCCUUAUGACCUGGGCUACACACGUGCUACAAUGGCCGGUACAAAGAGUUGCGAAACUGUGAAGUUAAGCUAAUCUCAUAAAGCCGGUCUCAGUUCGGAUUGUAGUCUGCAACUCGACUACAUGAAGUCGGAAUCGCUAGUAAUCGCGAAUCAGAAUGUCGCGGUGAAUACGUUCUCGAGUCUU
rnacentral:rRNA from 1 species